rnacentral:rRNA from 1 species
AGUGAACGCUGGCGGUAGGCCUAACACAUUCAAGUCGAACGGCAGCACAGGAGAGCUUGCUCUCUGGGUGGCGAGUGGCGGACGGGUGAGGAAUACAUCGGAAUCUACUCUGUCGUGGGGGAUAACGUAGGGAAACUUACGCUAAUACCGCAUACGACCUACGGGUGAAAGCAGGGGACCUUCGGGCCUUGCGCGAUUGAAUGAGCCGAUGUCGGAUUAGCUAGUUGGCGGGGUAAAGGCCCACCAAGGCGACGAUCCGUAGCUGGUCUGAGAGGAUGAUCAGCCACACUGAACCUGAGACACGGUCCAGACUCCUACGGGAGGCAGCAGUGGGGAAUAUUGGACAAUGGGCGCAAGCCUGAUUCAGCCAUACCGCGUGGGUGAAGAAGGCCUUCGGGUUGUAAAGCCCUUUUGUUGGGAAAGAAAUCCAGCUGGCUAAUACCCGGUUGGGAUGACGGUACCCAAAGAAUAAGCACCGGCUAACUUCGUGCCAGCCGCCGCAGUAA